rnacentral:rRNA from 1 species
CCUACGGGUGGCAGCAGUCGAGAAUCAUUCACAAUGGGGGAAACCCUGAUGGUGCGACGCCGCGUGGGGGAAUGAAGGUCUUCGGAUUGUAAACUUCUGUCAUGUGGGAGUAAAUCAAAAAGAUAGUACCACAAGAGGAAGAGACGGCUAACUCUGUGCCAGCAGCCGCGGUAAUACAGAGGUCUCAAGCGUUGUUCGGAAUCACUGGGCUUAAAGCGUGCGUAGGCGGUUUCGUAAGUCGUGUGUGAAAGGCGCGGGCUCAACCGGCGGACGGCAAUUGAUACUGGGAGACUAGAGUAAUGGAGGGGGAACCGGAAUUCGCGGUGUAGCAGUGAAAUGCGUAGAUAUCGAGAAGAACACUGAUGGCGAAGGCAGGUUCCUAGACAUUGACUGACGCUGAGGCACGAAGGCCAGGGGAGCGAAAGGGAUUAGAUACCCGGGUAGUC